AUCUAGCUGACGAGUCCUAAAUAGGACGAAAUGCGCAUCCCAGCUAGAU
rfam:Trichobilharzia regenti genome assembly, scaffold: TRE_scaffold0001911